rnacentral:lncRNA from 1 species
AGGAUGUUUCACUUAGAGAUGUCAAUGGGUAUAGAUAUAUGAAAUUUUAUCCAAAUCUAAAUCCAAACCCGAACGGAGCGAAUUUAUUCGAUACUAAACAUAUAUGGUUUCGGAUAUGGAUAUAAAAAAUAAAAACCCGAUGGAUAUAGAUUCGAACCGGAACCCGAGCCGAACCGAAUUUAUUUUAUAUUAUAUAUAACAUGUAUAUAAAAAUUUAAUAUUAUAUUUGAAUUUGUAUUGUAAAAAUAUAGAUUUAAUGUAAUUUAUUUUAAAAUAUUAAAAAGAGAAAUAAUUAUUUCAGGUUCAGAUUUUCGGGUUCGGGUUUCGGAUUUUUGGUCGGGUUCGGGUUUGGAUAUGGAUUUUUAAAAUCCAUCGGGUUCAAGUUCGGGUUCCGAUUUCGGGUUUUCAGUUGGGUUUGGGUUCGGAUUUUUGAAAAUUCGUCCCAAAUCCGACCCGUUGACAUCCUUAGUUUCGCUAGGGGAGGAAUCGAGCCUAAAUUUAGACUCAAGCCCAGCUUGAAAUUAAU